rnacentral:lncRNA from 1 species
AAAGAACAGAACUUGGUUGUUGAUUUUCCAACCACCUUAAACACAUCAAAUUAAUGUUUUCUUCACAAUUAGACUCAUUUCUAAUGAUUGGUCCCACAGGAUAAACACAAGGUUUCUUACUCUCUCUUUCAUUUUCUUGAAGAACCCUUAUAACUUCUGGUUCUAAAUCAGUGAAAGUGUUUAUGAUAACACCAUCAAAUAAUGAGAAUUUCUUACACACAUCAAGAAAUGAUUUGUAAACUAUGCUUGAUCUUUCACUUUUAAUUAUAUCUGGAAUAUCUUCGAUAGUUAAAGUGAUUGUACUACCUGGAACAAUUACUGUUUCAUAAGCUGGUUCUAAUAAGUACUCUGUUUCAGAUGAAACAGAAUCGUCGAGAUUCGGCAAAGUGACAAAGAAUGAAUAUGUAAAAGCUCCUGAAGGAUAGAAAAGGUAAGAAGAUAAGUUGAAUUGCUUAGCAACUUCAUGUGCAUCAGUUGAGAAUACACCAGAGAUUAAAGCAACAAGGUGAGUUUUUGAAAUAAGUGAUUUUAUUGCUUCUUGUAGAAAUGGAACAGAGUAUUUUGCUACAAGUUUCAUUUUGGUAGCAGGUUCGUAGCUAUGUUGUGGAAGGUUUUUGACUUGAGGGAGAAUAAUGAAGUCUAUGUUUGGUGGAAGAGUGUUCAAGAUUUGUUGCAUUGAAGGUGUGAGAGGACCAUCUGUUGGAAUUAUGAAGGAGACAAUGAAUUGAUUGUGU